ensembl:lncRNA
UCCCUGUAGGGUGCAGGGGGUCCCCAGGUGUGUCCAGGGCAUCCUUGCAGUCAUCCAGAAGGGUCUGGGGAUGUCCCAGGACUGUCUUGGAGUGUCCAGGGAGUGUUCAUGUGGGUCUGGGGGGUCCUGGAGCCAUCCAGAAGGGUCUGGAGAUGUCCCAGAGAGGACUUGGAGGGUCUGGGGGGUCCUUUGGUGGGUUCAGAGGGUCCUGUUGUCUUCUGGAAGGGUCUGAAGAUGUCCCAGAAGUGUCUUGGGGUGUCCAGGGGGUGCUGCCACUGAGCCUCCCACUGUCCUAUGAGGGGAUAAAAGGACCCCCCUGGGGGCAUUGCGUCAAAGUUGGGGACACUGUGAGCAGCUUGAGGACUUCCCAGGGGAAGUGGGGACACCGCGUCACUGUGUCACACCUCAAAGUUGGGGACACCCCCACCGUGUCACACCCCAAAGUUGGGGAUGCCCCGACAGUGUCACAUCUCAAAGUUGGGACAGCUCUGUGUCCCCCCGAUGGUGUAACACCCCAAAGUUGGGGACACACCACAGUGUCACAUCCCAAAGUUGGGGUCUGUCCCAGAGGUGGGAGUGCCCCCACGUUUACACCAUGGCGUCACAUCCCAAAAUUGCGGACCCCCCUCUGGGGACCCAUUCUGUGCGCCCCCCAUUGCAGACCGCACUGUUCCCAUGGGGUGAGGGCGGGGGGCACCCCUUAUUUUUGGGAUUAAGGUAUAUUUUGUGAUAACGGGGGGGUUGGGGGAUGCCCCCCCCACGUGAAUAGAGGGCAGAGGAGCGGUUGUGGGGCUCCGUGUGUCACACCGGGGAGUGCUUUGGGGACACUGCAGCAUCCCAGCCCCAUAGCCCCCAUGGCCCUAUAACCACUACAGCCCCAUCUCGUAGCCAUCCCAUAUCCAUAUCCCAUCCCAUAUCCCAUCCUGUAUCCAUAACCCUUCCAAUAUCCAAAACAUGAUAUCUGUCCCACGCCCAUAUCCCAAAUCCAUCCCAUAUCCAUAUCCCAAAUCCAUCCCGUAUCCAUAUCCCAAAUCCAUCCUAUAUCCAUAUUCCAAAUCCAUCCCCUAUCCAUAUUCCAUCCCAACUUCAUGCCAAAUCUCUUUCUAUAUCCAUAUCACCUUAUCUAUCCCAUAACCAUCCCAAAUCCAUCUCAAAUCCAUAUCUCAUCCCAAACCGAUCCCAUCUCCUUAUCCAUCCCAUAUCAAUGUCCCAUCCCUUAUCCAAUCCCAUAUCCCAUCCUAAAGCCAUCCCACAUCCAUACCCCCACAUCCCAUAUCCUAUCCCCAUCCUGUACCCCAUGUCCCAUAUCCAUUUCCAUCCCACAGCCUUCCUGAAUCCAUAUCCCCACAUCCAUCCCGUGUCCACCCCAUAUCCAUUCCAUAUACCUAUCCCAUCCCAUGAUCAUCCCAAUCCCAUCCCAUAUCCAUAUCCUGUCCCAACUCCACCCCAUAUCAUUCCCAUAUCUUUGCCAAGUCUGUCCCGUACCUGUAUACCCACUUCCUGCAUCCCAACCCCAAUCCCAAUCCCAAUCCCACGCCUCAUUCCCAAUCCCACAUGCCAAUCCCAUAUCCCGUA